rnacentral:rRNA from 1 species
UACGUAGGAGGCGAGCGUUGUCCGGAGUUACUGGGCGUAAAGGGUGCGCAGGCGGCCCGACAGGUGUGUGGUGAAAUCCCCCGGCUCAACCGGGGAACGGGCGCGGAUACGACCUUCCUGGAGGGGCGUAGGGGGACCUGGAACUUCCGGUGGAGCGGUGAAAUGCGUUGAGAUCGGAAGGAACGCCCGUGGCGAAAGCGAGGUCCUGGACGCCUACUGACGCUGAGACGCGAAAGCCAGGGGAGCGAACGGG